rnacentral:tRNA from 1 species
CAAGAAAAAAGGGACUUGAACCCAUGACAUUUAGUUUUGGAAACUAACAUUCUACCAAACUGAAUUAUUUUCUU